UAGUCGCUGACAGCAGCCAGCCAGCCAGGUUUGUGAUCUCUGCUGCCGGGAAAAUUAAAUAUAAAACCUCGGAAGUCAUAAUGAAGCGGAGUUAUGUGUCCGGAAGCUAGAAAAGAAUGAAGAGAAAUGAAGAGGAUGACAAGAAAAAAUAAGAUAGUGGUGCUUUGCUUAAAUUUAUCAGCCCUCAGCCUUACUAAGGAUACCUCCACUGAUGAAGGUAGAGUGAAUUUCUCUCACUGAGCUGAGCUGUUAAUGACUCAUUCCAAUAUGCUAACAGUGAAAUGGUCAACGUACUUUACAGGAACAAACUGUCUUCUGUCUCACCUUCUCCAUUUCACCCAGAAACACAUCUACAUAAUCACGUGGGUCUGACGGAUCCCUGUCCUCAAC